rnacentral:rRNA from 1 species
CCUACGGGUGGCAGCAGUGAGGAAUAUUGGUCAAUGGGCGCAAGCCUGAACCAGCCAAGUCGCGUGAGGGAUGAAGGUUCUAUGGAUCGUAAACCUCUUUUAUAAGGGAAUAAAGUGUGGGACGUGUCCCAUUUUGUAUGUACCUUAUGAAUAAGGAUCGGCUAACUCCGUGCCAGCAGCCGCGGUAAUACGGAGGAUCCGAGCGUUAUCCGGAUUUAUUGGGUUUAAAGGGUGCGUAGGUGGCCUUUUAAGUCAGCUGUGAAAGUCUGUGGCUCAACCGUAAAAUUGCCAUUGAUACUGGGAGUCUUGAGUAUAGUUGAGGCAGGCGGAAGGCGUGGUGUAGCGGUGAAAUGCUUAGAUAUCACGCAGAACCCCGAUUGCGAAGGCAGCCUACCAAGCCAUCACUGACGCUGAUGCACGAAAGCGUGGGGAUCAAACAGGAUUAGAUACCCCAGUAGUC